GCCGAGAUAGCUCAGUUGGGAGAGCAGUAGACUGAAGGCAGGAAGGUUCCAGCAGCUGGCUCGAAUUCUAAAGGUCGGGCGUUCAAUCCGCCCUCUUGGCA